GUAAAAAAAAUUUCUCUCUCUUCUCUCCCUCUCUCUCUCGUACGCUCUUCUCUCCCUCUCACUCUCUCGUACGCUCUUCUCUCCCUCCUCUCUGCCUCAUCUCAUCCUUCACCAUAUCAUCCACCACAACCCCCCACCACCACCUACAAAUCAAUCACUCGUCAGAGGGAGGGAGUGGCCGAGUGAGAGAAGAUUUGCCGGGGAGGGAAGUUCCGGUGAGGAAGAGAGAGUUCCGGCCGUGAUAGAUAGUUCCGGUGGCGGUUCGCGGCGGUGUUUGGCGACGGCGAUGCUUAUUGCUCCUUCGUUCCUCUGGUUUGAUCUUAGUUUCUAUACUAUAUUUAUUUUUAUUUUUUUCGUUGCUUUUUUUUUUUUGCUGGUGAAGAUGUUGAAGAUUGGAGGUGGUGGUGAUGUGUAGUGGUUAUGUUGGAUGGCUCCAUGGAAGGAUAAGGCUCCUCCAGUCCUCCACCUUCCUCCAAGCUAGCCAAAUCUGGUGGUGGCAAGCAGAAGAAGGUUCGUUUUUCUCUUCAAAGUUUUUUUUUUUUAAAAUUUUUUUUCUGUAAAAGUUUAUUUUUUGACAAUUUGGUGUUCUCUUGGAUCGAUCCGCUGCGGUGAAACUAAGUGGAAUGUCUGAAAGAGCUUAUAUUAGAUCCUAUAAUUCACUUCACAAUGGCAUCGGAGUCAAGUUGAAGCUAGAUGUGAGAGAAUUGGCGAUUCAAUUCGGUUGUGUUCGGAUUAUACCUUAUGUUCCUGACGGUCUUAAGCUGUAAGUUAUUGAUUUUGUGGUUUUAAUAAUGUCUGCCAUGUUUGAUGAAAUGCUAUUGAAAAAAAACACUAAAAUGUGUUGCUGAAAAUCGCCGUGCUUUUACUCGUCCGGUGUUUAUGGCUGUUGCUUUUUAUUUAUGUGCAAAGAAACACAAGGUACAUUUGUAAUAAUCUCAAUACAAACACAUGGCAUGUGGUUAUAUAUUGUAAUGACAUGAUUUGUGAUUGUUCUUUGCUUGUGUUUCUGAUUCAUGAGAUUAUUGUGCAGAAAGGGCAACUGGGUCAUGGAGAUACCAUUCAGCGUGAUAGGCCGACUGUGGUGUCUGAACUAUCAAAAUACAAAAUUGUUCAAGCUGGAGCUGGGAGGAGCCAUACGGUGGAUAUCUGGUGUUGUUUGGAUGCAAUAGUUGUUAAGUUUGAUUUAUUUUAUUAUUAUGACUGCUAGGACUGCUGGUCUUCCACAGUAUGGACAACUCGGGCAUAGAACAGAUAACGAGUAUAAUUCCAAAGACAGUUCUGUAAAAUUAGUUUAUGAAGCACAGCCACGUCCUCGAGCAAUAGCUUCCCUUGCUGGCGAAACCAUUGUCAAGGUGGCAUGUGGAACAAAUCACACAGUGGCGGUGGAUAAGAACGGCUUUGUCUACACGUGAGUAGUCCUUUAAUGUCUUGGCUCAAUAUAUUACUUGCUUUUUGUGUAAAUUAAGUUGUAAUCUUAUGUGUUAUUCAUGUGUACGGGUGGGGUUAUGGAAGGUUGGUUCGCAGUUUUCAGAUUCGGCUAUCCAUGUUCUGUGAAUUCCCAUGAAAUCGCAAAUAUCAGAUCUUUCUUUCUCAAAAUUGGAUUUUUCACAUUUGGGCCUUUCAUUUGUGCUGUGGCUCAGGGAAUAUAUGAGAUUAUGAAAAAGUUACAUGCCUAAAGUUGGUUCUCUUUGGCUUGACAUGAUGUUCAGGACAUGCGCUGCACAGGAUGGCUCCUGCAACGGUUUACAACAUUAUGCUGCUUUAGGAAGAGACAAGGUUCACAAAAUUACGGUUUGAUUGUGUAAGUUUUCUAAACUUUAUUUGAUUGUAUUUGAGUAAUAUUUAGCUGAUGUUUGAGAUUUGAGUAAGUUUUCGUUUCAGAAUUCAACUCUCUCUAUUACUUUCUAUGGUGUUUGUCAUAUUAUCUCCAUCAUAUAUUAGGAGGAGAAAGUUGCAUUAGGAGGCUAUCCUACUAAAUUUGUUUGUUGAAUUGCUCUCCCGGACAUUUUUAACACAUUCAUUUUUUUGAAGGGCAAGUAACGAGAAUGAAGUUGGAAAGUUGCUAUUAACUAUUAUUGAGAAAAUGUAGCAAGAUCAACAAUGCCAUGAUGAAGGAGUGGCUUGCAAUGUUUUCCCUUAGCAUUCUGAUUUACAAGUAUGCCAGAAGUCGAUGCAAAAGGUUCAAAAUGGAGAGAUCUUCCAGAAGCAGGACUCAAAUUGUGUGUUACACCCUAAUAGCAGCAGCUACAAAGUCCUUUUUAUCAGGCAGGGAAGAUACAAUUGGAGAGUAAGUAAUUUUUUGACCAAUCAAAUAUUAUGACAAACUAUAAUCUAGGUCCAAAAUGGUUUUUCAUGAUAUUGAAAGGCUUCUAUAUACCUCUUAUAAUAAUACACCACUUGAUGGGUGCUUCUAUUCUGCCAUUACACUAGAGUUAGAUGCAAGUGAUGGUAUACUCUGUUCAUAUCUGAAAAAAUUGUUUGGAUCUAUCGCUGUCUUUACCUCUACAAGCCUAUCAAAGUUUCCUUUGAAAUACUUUUUACCCCAAAUACUGGCUUCUUCAUAACCAACAUUCCUAUCUACAUUGACACCUAAAUCAACAUCUCUAUAGUUCAAAUAUGAACUUCUUGGCGACUCUGACACAUAAGGUGUCAUGUAAUCAUAGAGGUUUCGAAUCCGAUCUAAUCUCACUCAUUUUCCCACCAUAAGGAUUAAAUGUAAGUGUAACCUUAAGAUGAGUACUUUUUUGCAAUUUUGUAAUUUUGAAAAUAUUGACAUGAUUUUGGAACUGCUUUCUUAUGCAAUUUAGAAUUUUUAACAGCAUGAGGGAAUUUUAAAACACCUGAGAUAUUAGAAAUUUAUUAGACAUAAGUUGUUUAACUUUAAAGAUUGUUGGAAGUAGUAUUGCAUUUUGAUUUAAUUGACAUGAUUUUGGUCUAAAGCUUCAAUCUUUCUACUUUGUUGCAAGUUUGUGUAUCCCAUCUUAGCUCCAUAGCAUAUUUCUGAUUCCACUUGGUAACUGAACAAUGGCAGUGCUUCUUUUUUUUUUUACGUGUAAAUGGUUCAAUUCAAGCAAACUUCAUUCUUGCUGAUAUUUAUUGUGUAUGUUCUAAUGAUGUUGGAAAAUUGCAGCAAUGUAAAUAGAAUCAAAGUUUGGAUAAAAUUAAAUUGUAUAUGAUAUGUUUGGUGGUGUAGUGUGCACGAGGUUGCAACAAUAAUAAGAAUUGGAGGUGGAAAUUGAAAGUUGGACCAAUGAGUAGUUAAGGAAGAGGGUUCUCCAGAAGAACAUGAUGACUUUUGGAUGAAACUUAAACUCAUUCAGUCAUCCAAAUUCAUUAUAGAAGAAGGCCAUAUAUUUUCAAGGAGGGACGUUUAAGUCAAACCAGUUCUCUAAGCUAGCAUUUGAAAAUAAAUUAUCAGUUGAAGAGAAUUCUAUUAUCUGACUAAUUUGUAAUUUGGAGAUAGUUUGUAUCAGAAAAUCGAUUACUUAUUUGUACAUUUCGUUUUGAUUAUGUAAUUGGAUAUCUUAUAAUACAUAAAUUGGGUCCAGAAUAUAGCUACACUUUUUUUAA